AACGAACGCUGGCGGCAGGCUUAACACAUGCAAGUCGAACGCCCCGCAAGGGGAGUGGCAGACGGGUGGGUAACGCGUGGGAAUCUACCCAUCCCUACGGAAUAACGCAUGGAAACGUGUGCUAAUACCGUAUACGCCCUACGGGGGAAAGAUAUAUCGGGGAUGGAUGAGCGCGCGUUGGAUUAGCUAGUUGGUGGGGUAAAGGCAUACCAUGGCGGCGAGCCAUAGCUGGUCUGAGAGGAUGAUCAGCCACAUUGGGACUGAGACACGGCCCACACUCCUACGGGAGGGAGCAGUGGGGAAUAUUGGACAAUGGGCGCAAGCCUGAUCCAGCCAUGCCGGGUGAGUGAUGCAGGCCUUAGGGUUGUAAAGCUCUUUGACCGGAGAAGAUAAUGACGGUAACCGGAGAAGAAGCCCCGGCUAACUUCGUG
rnacentral:rRNA from 1 species